UAGGGAAUCUUCGGCAAUGGACGAAAGUCUGACCGAGCAACGCCGCGUGAGUGAAGAAGGUUUUCGGAUCGUAAAACUCUGUUGUUAGAGAAGAACAAGGACGUUAGUAACUGAACGUCCCCUGACGGUAUCUAACCAGAAAGCCACGGCUAACUACGUGCCAGCAGCCGCGGUAAUACGUAGGUGGCAAGCGUUGUCCGGAUUUAUUGGGCGUAAAGCGAGCGCAGGCGGUUUCUUAAGUCUGAUGUGAAAGCCCCCGGCUCAACCGGGGAGUGUCAUUGGAAACUGGGAGACUUGAGUGCAGAAGAGGAUAGUGGAAUUCCGUGUGUAGCGGUGGAAUGCGUAGAUAUAUGGAGGAACACCAGUGGCGAAGACGGAUCUCUGGUCUGUAACUGACACUGAGGCUCGAAAGCGUGGGGAGCAAACAGG
rnacentral:rRNA from 1 species